rnacentral:rRNA from 1 species
UAGAGUUUGAUCCUGGCUCAGGAUGAACGCUAGCGGCAGGCUUAACACAUGCAAGUCGAGGGGCAGCACGGGUAGCAAUACUUGGUGGCGACCGGCGCAAGGGUGCGUAACGCGUGAGCAACAUGCCCGUAUCAGGGGGAUAAUCCAUGGAAACGUGGUCUAAUACCCCAUAGUAAAUUUUUGGGGCAUCUCAAAGAUUUUAAAGCUUUGGUGGAUACGGAUUGGCUCGCGUGACAUUAGCUAGAUGGUAAGGUAACGGCUUACCAUGGCUACGAUGUCUAGGGGUUCUGAGAGGAAGGUCCCCCACACUGGAACUGAGACACGGUCCAGACUCCUACGGGAGGCAGCAGUGAGGAAUAUUGGACAAUGGAUGGAAAUCUGAUCCAGCCAUGCCGCGUGCAGGAAGACGGCCCUAUGGGUUGUAAACUGCUUUUGUAUGGGAGUAAUAAGGUCUAUGCGUAGACUGAUGAGAGUACCAUACGAAUAAGCAUCGGCUAACUCCGUGCCAGCAGCCGCGGUAA